rnacentral:misc_RNA from 1 species
CGAAUGAACAUCUAAAAAUCAAAUGAGCAGAGCCAAGGAAAACAGUCAACAAUUAGUCCUUGCUAGUGACCAAAAAAAUAUAGGAGGCUGAAUCCAAGUUUUCCCACACUUGGUUUUUGAUAUGACCCUCCCAAAAAAUCUAUAGUCGAAAUCGAUCUCGCCAGAGCUCAAGGAAGAAUAGUAAUUUGGCCUAUCACAUUCAAAAUAUAUCAUAUUAGCAUAUGUGCUCAAUUCUCCCACUGCUUCAGCUGAGAAUGAUGUGCAUCCAAGAAAUAACACUUGAUUUUUCCAGUUGCAUUUCUCUUCCUCCACCCAUUGCUUUUGCACCAUAUCAAACCUCCACAUCAUCCAAAUAAAGCCAUAAUAUAUCUUGAAUUUGCGUACCAUGAAUAGUUCUUCCUGGGAAACAAUAACGUAACAUGUGCGAGCAAAUCUAAAUUGGCUGCUGCUUGUUAGCAAUUUCCAUUCCUGGAGCUUAACAUCAAACACACCUACUAGGCCAGUUACUGAAACUGUAUAGAACAACCCAUUUUCGUAUGCAACUUCCCAGUUCCCCCAUGGAUGAAUAUCACUGUUAUAUUCUUCAGGAACAUGAAAUUUCAACUUCGUCCACUUCUUGUCACCAAUGCGACAUAUACUAAUGAGGGCUUUCAACGAUCCACCCCCUUUAAUCUCAAAUAUGAAGAAGAUGCAAUCUGGGGAUGUUGGAUCCGUG